rnacentral:lncRNA from 1 species
GAGUGAGAAGAGGUGGGAGGAAGAGAAACUACGCCACCUCCCCUGCAGCCGAGUGCACGCAGCAGCCUGGCGUGACAAGUGGGCGACGCCGGGGGGCAGGGAGCCGGGGUCCUUGGCCCUGGCCGGGGACCCCACCGCCCACCGCGCGGAGGACAACUUUUAGCCGGCAGCCCAGACCAGCGCGGCACCUGUCUCCGGAGUCUCCACCGCUCCUCCCGAUUCAUCCCAGGGAAAUUCUCAAGAAUACGCUCUACAAAUCUACGUGCGCAUCAUUUUCACCUCGCGUCGCGCCCGGGAGGAAGGAACGAGGCAAGGAGCUAAAGCAGCGUGCGUUCAGCCCUGGGGAGGAAAAUGGAAGAAACGGAGAUACUUUUAGUGAAGCAGAAUAAACCACUGAACAGGAAAAAUGAGGAAGCUGUGAGUACCAGUGGAAGGAACGAGCCAGGAAGAGGGACUGGAACCAUCUCAGAAGCCAUGCCCCUCAGGCUGGAACUUGCCCUGUCUCCUCGCAGAUGAGACAGACGUUUAAGUACGAGAAAGCUAAUGGCGCAGAUUCUGCUGACUGUGUGGCUCUCGUCUUAAUGCGUUUUCCAACCUUGAACCUGAGAAUGCCAGA